rnacentral:rRNA from 1 species
ACGAACGCUGGCGGCGUGCUUAACACAUGCAAGUCGAACGCGCAGCAUUCUGUAGCAAUACAGGGUGUGGGCGCGUGGCGAACGGGUGCGUAACACGUGGAUAACCUUCCUUCAGGUGGGGAAUAACCCAGUGAAAAUUGGGCUAAUACCGCAUAACAUCGCGAUGGCACAUGCUGUUGCGUUCAAAGGCGCAAGUCGCCAGAAGAGGGAUCCGCGGCCGAUUAGCUUGUUGGUGGGGUAACGGCCCACCAAGGCUUUGAUCGGUAGCCGGACUGAGAGGUUGGCCGGCCACACUGGAACUGAGACACGGUCCAGACUCCUACGGGAGGCAGCAGUGGGGAAUCUUGCACAAUGGACGAAAGUCUGAUGCAGCAACGCCGCGUGGGGGAUGAAGCUUCUCGGAGUGUAAACCCCUUUCGACCCGGACGAAUGCCCGCAAGGGUUUGACGGUACGGGUAUAAGAAGCCCCGGCUAACUACGUGCCAGCAGCCGCGGUAAUACAAGGGCGAAUUCCACAGUG